GGAAGGUGGUGCCCUCUCAGUGCCUGGGCUCCUCCUGAGGCAAGAGGAUCAAGCUCGGGAAUGAGCACCUGGCACCCACCGUCCGGGCCACCACUGACCACUUCCAGAGGGUAGUCAACUUCAUCACAAUCACCUGCCUAGGGGACCCAAGCAGGACAGCCUCGGACAGGGCCAGGGUGGUGGAACACUGGAUCCAGGUGGCACAGGGAGAGUCUGAAAACUUUAAGGAGCUGUAUACAAAAGACAAAUCCUUGAGCAGACAACUGAUGACCAAAGUAGAGUGGAGGCUGGAGUCUGGAAAGAGAGAAGGGAGGGGCCCUCCACGUUUGCCACCCUGCAGUACACCCCCAGAGAGUCCAGAGCAUCAGGUGAGGGUACCUGGGGAAGGAGCUCUGCCCACCCAGCCGGAGGCCUCAGACUCAGAGAGCAGGGCCCUGGCUCCUGCAGCCCUGCCUCCUGGAGCCACAGUGCCUGAGUCCCAGUAGAGGGCGUUGUCCCCUUCUUGGCCUUUCCUUGGUGAUCUGGUGAUGCUGCAUCUGGUGAUGGGUGACUAUCAGGAGGGGAGCCUCGAGCCGCCCUGGGAGCCGGGGCGUCAGGCCCAUCUCAGGGAUGGGUGAACAGAGGGUCCGUGUGACACACCUGUUCCGUCCCCAGGCUGGUGAGGCAGCAAAGCCACCUGAGGGAGGGCACAGCUGUGAGAGGUUUAUGAGCUGGACUCAGCCUCUCCCUCCUGCGGGGCCCACAGUGGGACAGAGAAGUUGGGCCCCUCCAGUCAGGCAGCAGGUGAGUGGCUGAGCUGUCCCUUCUGCCUGAGGCCGCAGCCUCCAGGUCUGUCAUCUGAGACGGUUGGGCUACAAGGUCCCUCGGCCUCAGCCCCAUGUCCUCCUUCUCUGGAGCCCAGAGCCUGGCCCAGGUACAAGGCCUGCUUUCUCUGAAUGCCCAACCCCUCUGGGGACCUGGCGGUGGUACCACAUGAGAAAGAGGG
rnacentral:lncRNA from 1 species